rnacentral:rRNA from 1 species
UACAGAGGUCCCAAGCGUUGUUCGGAUUCAUUGGGCGUAAAGGGUGCGUAGGCGGCGGGGAAAGUCUGAUGUGAAAUCCUGGGGCUCAACCCUGGAACUGCAUUGGAUACUUCCUUGCUAGAGUACUGGAGAGGAAACUGGAAUUUACGGUGUAGCAGUGAAAUGCGUAGAGAUCGUAAGGAAGACCAGUGGCGAAGGCGAGUUUCUGGACAGUUACUGACGCUGAGGCACGAAGGCCAGGGGAGCAAACGGG